rnacentral:lncRNA from 1 species
AUGGUUGUGAGGCCUCCCCAGCCAUGUGGAACUGAGCAGCAACAUUUCAGGACUUCUUGGGUGGAAGAAAGUUGGCAGAGAGAACGUCCACAGUGCAGCCAGACAGUGAAAGCCAACCUUCCAUGGCAAAUUCAAGGUGUGGUUCAGGUAGGAAUAAUUGACUCUUUUGAAGCACAUUUCCUCCUUGUCAAAUCUGACACACAUGUUCAAAGCACAUGGAUGAAUUUUUUCAUAAAGUAUAUUUAUAGCAUUAUUUACACAGGGACUUAUGUAGUGGAGGAACAGGGACAAGAAAACAAAGGUAGAAACCUCCAUCACCUUGAUUCUGCAUUGCAGACCAGACACUUACAUCUUCCUAUAUGUGUUUUUAUAUGUGUGCCAUUAUUGGGUAAGGUUUGAAUACUCAUACUGAGUCACUGGACUAAAAGUUGGUAUCAAUAAUAACUGAAAAGAUAACACAUCGUCAGACAGUGUCCAAUGAUCAGACUCAUCUAGAUAUUUACUGCCAUGAAGACAGGCCUGAGGAGUCUUGCCCAGAUGUUGCUUGACUUAAGACGGGGUUAUGUUCCAAUAUGCCCAUCGUAAGUUGAAAACAUCAUAAGCCGAAAAUGCAUCUAAUAUACCUAACCUACCAAACACCAUAGGUCAGCCUAGCUUGCCUUAAAGCUUCUCAGAAUUAGCCUGAAGUUGGGCAAAAUAACUAACAUAAAGUCUAUUUUAUAGUUAAGAGUUGAAUGUCUCAUGUAAUCUAUUGAAUAUGAUACUGAAAGUGAAAAACAGAACUGCUGAAAAGUCAAAAAAUCAAAAGUUGAACUAUCAUAAAUUGGGCACCAUCUUCUGUAUUUAUCUUGAAAUUUCUAAGAAAGACUUCAGCAAAAUAAUGUGAAAGUGUUUUGAAUAAAAAUGGUGUUUCGAUGAUAUUUCAAAUUUAUUUUUCCUGAAGCGUGUUGAAGCUAAUUCCAGUCAACUUGUGAUUUCAUUUGCAAGUACUUUAGUAUUGUGUACAUCCUGUUCUGGGAGUUUAGUAUCAUGGCAAGAUGCUCGGUAUGUAACUCUAAUGUACUAUUACAGAGAAUGGUUUCUAAUGCUUAUGAAACAUUUGAUAUUCCAACAUAGAAGUUGGAAGAAGCUGCUAUUUAGCUACCAUCAGAAGAGUCAGAUUUAUUUUAAGAGGAAGACUAAACUUUGUAAAGUAAAAAAAAAAAAAAAAAGAAAAGAAAAAGAAAAAAAAGUAAAAAAGGAAAAUAUACCUGCAUGGGUCGUAAAUGACAUUUAUUAUUACAUAGACUUGUCAAAUGAGAAACACAAAUCUAGUAUUUUCAUAUGUGUGAACUUCUACUGCUAAUUUUGACUCUUACCUUUUUCAUUCCUGAGAAGCAUGGUGAAGACUAUCCCCGGAAUUUUUAAAUGAAAUAAUCACAAUAGCCUUGUGUUGAAAUAUGUCUAACAAAUUAUUAAUAAUUCAGUUGAAAUUUCUGAGCACUUUUGAUGCAGAAAACUGUACUAAAAUCUAAAGUAGAAAAAUAAGCCAAAUGCUAUUCCUGAUGCAAAGAAUUCAUAAUACAGUGGUUGUCAGAAGCAUAUAUGGAAAUUAUUUUUACAAUGUAGGCUUAGCUUAGUCAUAUUACUCACACAGAAACAAGGUGGUAACACACAAGAUAGGAUUAUUGACUCUUCCUGGAAAGGGGAGUCCAGGAACAUCUUCCCGGAGAGAUGUCACAGUUGAUUUCAAAUACACAAUGCAGAACCUUUCAUGUGGUAUGGUAAUGAAGACUAACUGUUUAUUGAAUUUUUUUUUUCCUGGAGUCAUAUGAAAUAUAUAAGUUACAUGUUAUAACCAAGUCUCUAUGCAAGAUUUGUCCAGUUCAAAAAUUUAAAAAAAAUUAAAUUAUAUUUUAGAAUUUUUAACGGGUACAUGGUAGGUGUAUAUAUUCAUGGGGUACAUGAAACGUUUUGAUACAGGCAUGCAAUGUGAAAUAAGCAUAUUUUAGGAUCAAUACCUUUGCAAAUGGUUCAGUAGAGUUUUCUUAGCAUACGUGAUUUUAAAUAAGGAUACAAUCAGACAUUAUUGUUAAAAUUGUAUAGAGUUUGGGGUAACCAGUCUGGUAGACUAAAAGAAAUUUUAGACAGUGUUUUAUAAGUACAAACCAGAGAAAGUAUGACUAUUUUGUCAAUGAAAUAUUAUCUGUUGAUUAAUUUGAAAACUCUAGGCCUGGGGGAUUAUGUGAUUCUCAUUUUGGUAUCCAAGAGGCAUCUGGAUAAGCUUGUUUUUCUGUGCAUCAGUUGUGCGGCAACACUCUUAGUUAUUACAUCUCCACAAGAAAGAGCCACAGCUGAACCUCAUCAUAACCUGUGUUUUGUGUGUCAAUUCUUGCAUUAGCAACAUGACUUUUUUUUUUUUUUUUUUUUUUUUUGGUGAGAUUUUACCUGCAAUGUUAACAAGGUCAAUGCGUGUCAGAAGCAGUUAUUUUCAUUUAAGAUUUAUUUCCCUAUGGAUAGUCUUAAGAUGUUCAAGUUCCUAACGAGGGCAUUGAAGUUAAAGCUUAACUACCUUAUAAGGAAAAACAUAACUACUGGGAGGAUAGCCAUGAUACAUAUUUUAGUCACAUCAACUCUCUUGUAGGAAGGCAGGAGGCAGAAGUGUAGGAGUGUAUGUGUGUGUGUGAGAGAAGGUACACACAAAUGCAUAUGUAUUAGUGAACACAGAAGCAACGACUGAUACUUCACUUUAAUCUGUUUGUCUUUGUUCACAUAGAGAGUUGUUGGUUUUGUCUUCUUCUAACCGUAACUUUAUUUUGUAUAGAGAUAUAAUUUUACUCUAUUUUAUUCUGCCUGCUAAGGUUUAAUGGUUUAAAUCAAACCUUAGCAGACAGAUUAAAACAGACAAAACUUAUCUGUUUAUCUCACUAGACCAUACAAUCCCCAGGGGACAAAAAAGUCAUUUUGUGAUAUUUAUAUCUCUUAAUAUACCCCUUCCUAACUUCAUUCUGUGUCCUUUGCAGUCUCUUGACAUGAAUAUUAUAAACACUCAAACCAUAACAUUGUAAGUAGUGCUUCUCGAACUUUCCAUGCACAUAAAUUGCCAGGGAUCUUAGUAAUAUGUGGAUUUGGAUUCCAUAGUUCUGCAGUGGGGCCUGUUUCUAACAAGGUCUCAGGUCACAUUGAUGUGGCACGUUCUAUGGAUUGACUUUUGAGUAGCGAACCAUCUGCCCAACCCUGGGCUCCCCACUUUUAACCCAUUUCUAGCACAAAACUGAAAUCAUUUCUGAAAAAAAGGUGUGGUAAUUGUUUGGGAUAAGGUAUGGAUUUAUUAAGCUCGAGUGUCAAUAUGACUUAAAACUGAUUACACCGGGAUUUACAUAUUAGUAUCGUUCCCUUCAAAACAAUUAUCGACUAUUUAUUCCAGUGUGAAAACCCUACUUUCGGAAUUGUCUGCAAAGACUCAAAGAUCAGUACUCACUCACUCAUUUGCUUAUAUUAUGAUUCAACAAAUAUUUACUAUGUGUCAAAAAAGUCCUAAGUACUAUGCUAGGUAUUUAGAGACACACUGAUGAAUAAGGAAAAGUUGCCCGUAAGUACUCAAGGAGCUCAAAGAAGGAACAAACAGUAAACAAAUAAUGAUGUUUCAGCAUAAUAAAUAAAGAUGUGUGUGCCUCAAGGCUAUGUUUCCUUAAACCAAAUAAAG